AUCUCAAAUCAGGUAGGGCUACCCGCUGAACUUAAGCAUAUCAAAUAAGCGGGAGGAA
rnacentral:rRNA from 1 species